CACGUAGUUAGCCGGUGCUUCUUAUCCAGGUACCGUCACAUAACGCUUCGUCCCUGGCGAAAGGAGUUUACAACCCGAAGGCCGUCAUCCCCCACGCGGCGUCGCUGCAUCAGGCUUGCGCCCAUUGUGCAAUAUUCCCCACUGCUGCCUCCCGUAGGAGUCUGGGCCGUAUCUCAGUCCCAAUGUGGCCGUACACCCUCUCAGGCCGGCUACCCGUCGACGCCUUGGUAGGCCAUUACCCCACCAACAAGCUGAUAGGCCGCGAGCUCAUCCCACACCGAAAAAACUUUCCACCACCGCCACAACACGAUGGUCCUAUCCGGUAUUAGACCCAGUUUCCCAGGCUUAUCCCGAAGUGCAGGGCAGAUCACCCACGUGUUACUCACCCGUUCGCCACUCGAGCACCAGUGCAAGCACUGGCCUUUCCGUUCGACUUGCAUGUGUUAAGCACGCCGCCAGCGUUCAUCCUGAGCCAGGAUCAAACUCU
rnacentral:rRNA from 1 species